UACGGCCAUAUCACGUCGAAACACCUGUUCUCGUACGAUUAAGAAAGUUAAGCAAGGUCGAGACUGGUCAGUAACUAGAUGGGUGAAUGCUUGAGAAUACCAGGAGCUGAA